rnacentral:rRNA from 1 species
GAACGCUGGCGGCAUGCCUUACACAUGCAAGUCGAACGGCAGCACGGGUGCUUGCACCUGGUGGCGAGUGGCGAACGGGUGAGUAAUACAUCGGAACGUACCUUAUCGUGGGGGAUAACGCAGCGAAAGUUGCGCUAAUACCGCAUACGCCCUGAGGGGGAAAGCGGGGGACCGUAAGGCCUCGCGCGAUUAGAGCGGCCGAUGUCUGAUUAGCUUGUUGGUGAGGUAAAAGCUCACCAGGGAGAUGAUCAGUAGCUGGUCUGAGAGGACGAUCAGCCACACUGGGAUCUGAGACACGGGAAAGACUCCUACGGAGGUCUGCAGUGG